UACGUAGGGGGCAAGCGUUGUCCGGAUUUAUUGGGCGUAAAGAGCGUGUAGGCGGCUGGGUAGGUCCGUUGUGAAAACUCGAGGCUCAACCUCGAGCUGUCGGUGGAAACUGUGUGGCUAGAGUCCGGAAGAGGAGAGUGGAAUUCCCGGUGUAGCGGUGAAAUGCGCAGAUAUCGGGAAGAACACCCGUGGCGAAGGCGGCUCUCUGGGACGGUACUGACGCUGAGACGCGAAAGCGUGGGGAGCGAACAGG
rnacentral:rRNA from 1 species